AGAGGGGCUCGCGGCCCAUUAGCUAGUUGGCGGGGUAAUGGCCCACCAAGGCUAUGACGGGUAGGUGGUCUGAGAGGAUGGUCACCCACACUGGGACUGAGACACUGCCCAGACUCCUACGGGAGGCUGCAGUCGAGAAUCUUCCGCAAUGGGCGCAAGCCUGACGGAGCGAUGCCGCGUGAGGGAUGACGGCCUUCGGGUUGUAAACCUCUGUCAUCCGGGACGAAAACAAUGACGGUACCGGAAAAGGAAGCCACGGCUAACCACGUGCCAGCAGCCGCGGUAACACGUGGGUGGCGAGCGUUAUUCGGAUUUACUGGGCGUAAAGGGUCCGCAGGGGGCCUGCCACGCCUGCCGUGAAAUUCCAAGGCUCAACCUUGGACCUGCGGCGGGUACGGGCGGGCUAGAGUGCAAGAAGGGCAGACGGAAUUCCAGGUGUAGCGGUGGAAUGCGUAGAUAUCUGGAAGAACACCGAUGGCGAAGGCGGUCUGCUGGCUUGUAACUGACCCUCAGGGACGAGAGCGUGGGUAGCAAACAGGAUUAGAUACCCUGGUAGUCCACGCCGUAAACGUUGUGUGCCAGAUGUGGGUGGGUUCGGCCCCAUCCGUGUCCCAAGCUAACGCGGUAA
rnacentral:rRNA from 1 species